rnacentral:rRNA from 1 species
UACAGAGGUGGCAAGCGUUGUUCGGAAUUACUGGGCGUAAAGGGCGCGUAGGCGGUCUUGCAAGUCCCGUGUGAAAUCCCUCGGCUCAACUGGGGAAUGGCACGGGAAACUGCUUGGCUUGAGUUCGGGAGAGGGAAGCGGAAUUCCGGGUGUAGCGGUGAAAUGCGUAGAUAUCCGGAGGAACACCGGUGGCGAAGGCGGCUUCCUGGACCGACACUGACGCUGAGGCGCGAAAGCUAGGGGAGCAAACGGG